rnacentral:rRNA from 1 species
UACAGAGGUCUCAAGCGUUGUUCGGAUUCAUUGGGCGUAAAGGGUGCGUAGGCGGCGCGGUAAGUCGGGUGUGAAAUCUCGGAGCUUAACUCCGAAACUGCAUUCGAUACUGCCGUGCUUGAGGACUGGAGAGGAGACUGGAAUUUACGGUGUAGCGGUGAAAUGCGUAGAUAUCAGGAGGAACGCCGGUGGCGAAGGCGGGUCUCUGGGCCGAUACUGACGCUGAGGAGCGAAAGCGUGGGGAGCAAACAGG